UCUCUGUAGGUGAACCUGCGGAGGGAUCAUUUGCUGGAACGCGCUUCGGCGCACCCAGAAACCCUUUGUGAACUUAUACCUACUGUUGCCUCGGCGUCAGGCCGGCCCCCUCACCGGGGCCCCCCGGAGACGGGGAGCAGCCCGCCGGCGGCCAACCAAACUCUUGUUUCUAUAGUGAAUCUCUGAGUAAAAAAACAUAAAUGAAUCAAAACUUUCAACAACGGAUCUCUUGGUUCUGGCAUCGAUGAAGAACGCAGCGAAAUGCGAUAAGUAAUGUGAAUUGCAGAAUUCAGUGAAUCAUCGAAUCUUUGAACGCACAUUGCGCCCCCCGGUAUUCCGGGGGGCAUGCCUGUUCGAGCGUCAUUUCAACCCUCAAGCCUGGCUUGGUGAUGGGGCACUGCUUCGAGAGGAGCAGGCCCUGAAAUUCAGUGGCGAGCUCGCCAGGACCCCGAGCGUAGUAGUUAUAUCUCGCUCUGGAAGGCCCUGGCGGUGCCCUGCCGUUAAACCCCCAACUUCUGAAAAUUUGACCUCGGAUCAGGUAGGAAUAC
rnacentral:rRNA from 1 species